rnacentral:lncRNA from 1 species
AAGUGGUAUGUCUCUUUAUUUAUCUAGGUUUUCUUUAAUUCCUUUCAAUAAUACUUAUAGUUUUCUGUGAAAAGGUCUUACACAUCUUUUAUUAGAUUUAUUCUUAGAUUGUUGAUGUUUUGGAUGUUGUUAUAAAUGGUUUUAUCUUUUUGAAAAAAUAUUUCUUAAUUACUUAUUGAUAUUAGAAAUAGUUGUUUUUAAUAUACGGACAAGAGUAAUUUUUUAAUUUUAAGAAUUAUCCAAUAUGCAAAUCAUUGUGGGAAUAUUGGAUAAAUUGAGAAAAGUAAAGUUGGAUUAAAUCCAGGGUUGUAACAUUAGCACUUUCAAAAGGCAACCAGCAAGGACUGUUCCUAAAUAGUGUGAAUUUGGUUGCUUAAGAGAGAUUGCGUAGGUAGGGCUUGUUUCUCUCUUGGCUAACAUGAUUGGAACGUCGACAUUCUAGGCCCUCUUCCAGGCAGUCCACAUUUGGAAACACUCAGGCAAAUGUGGAGCAAGAAGGAAUCAGUGAAUUGGAAUUUCACUCUGUCCUGCCACCCUGGCUGCUUUUGGACUGACAGGCUUUGUUCCUCUCCUGAAGGUCCCCAAGGAUGAAGCUGUAAACCCACCAUUGUCAGGCACCGCGUAUUUGUGGUUUUUUUUGUUUUGUUUUGUUUUGUUUUUAAAGAUUUAUUUUAUUUAUUUCUCUCCCCUUCCCUCCUCCCCUCCUCCCGGUUUUCUGCUCUGUGUCUAUUUGCUGUGUGUUCUUUUUGUCUGCUUCUGUUGUUGUCAGCGGCACGGGAAUCUGUGUUUCUUUUUGUUGCGUCAUCUUGCUGUGUCAGCUCUCUGUGUGUGGCACCAUUCCUGGGCAGGCUGCACUUUCUUUCACGCUGGCAACUCUCCUUACGGGGCACACUCCUUGCACGUGGGGCUUCCCUACGUGGGGGACACCCCUGCGUGGCAGGGCACUCCUUGCGCACAUCAGCACUGCGCAUGGGCCAGCUCCACAAGGAUCAAGGAGGCCCGGGAUUUGAACUGCGGACCUCCCAUGUGGUAAACGGAUGCCCUAACCACUGGGCCAAGUCCGCUUCCCGGCACCGCGCAUUUGAAGUGAUGAUGACAGUACCCAUUUCCUUAAACUCAUCUCUGCUUUGUUUUUCCAGGUCUAUAAAGGAGAGUUUCAAUUACCUGACUUUCUUAAAGAAAAACCCCAGACUGAACGAGUGGAGUAGCAGAGCUGGGAACCUUUUUCAUAUGUGAGGAAUGACUGCUGCCUUUUUAAUGGACAAGACAUUUCUAGGACUGGCUCUCUCCUGCUGAGAUGCAUGGAGUGUGUGUACCAUGGCCUGUAUUUCCUCCGAACUUGCCAUCCCCUCCAGCUGCAAGGGUGGGGGGCUGGUGCACAUUCAGGCCUUCCUGGGUGAUCUGCUUCCUGAGUCAAGCUCUCUGAUCUUAAGUACAUGUACAGCCCUGUGGAUAAGGAGCCCAGAGGGGAACAUGUGCUUUCUAUUAAAACUGCUCUUGGCCUCACCUUUUCUUAUCAGAUUCCAAACUUUGUUUUCAAGGAAGAGUUUUAAAAUGAGAUUCUGUAAGCAAAAUUGGGCAGUUUCAUUUUAGAAUAGGUUGUUCAUGUUCUAAUAUUUUGUAGGACACUUGUGCCUGUUUAAAUGUAUUGAUGUGGAUAAUGUUAAAUAUCUUGAUUAUUUAAAUAAUUCAUUGUGUUGUUUCUGAAAAAUUGGGAAAUUACCCCAUACAUUUACAAUUUAAUGACUUUUGUAUUUUAUUUUUCAAAAUAAAAGCUUUAAAUGUGAAGCGUUUUAGUGGUUCACU